AAGCUGUGAGAUCUGCCUCCAGCCAGCAGCCCACCAGCUGUCUGCAGCGGAGGUUCACUUUUCCAGCUUCCGGACUUUCUCAGGGCUUCGGGGUGUCUAGCCUUAGACCCGCCCACUCAUGCAAUUGAAGCUGAUUGAUUGGGUGGGAGGAGUGACUGUCUCGGAGGACACGCCUACCCAACCAUGUCCCAUUCAGAACUGAGCACUUGUGCCUAGAAGUCCUCCCAAGGUCUCAACAAUAAGCUGAGAGGAAACCCCUGUCAGCCACAUACUUCUCUCACCAUCGUGUCCUGCUCAAGGACAGGGGACUGAAGCAACCUCGGACUUCAGCGACCUUGGACUGAAGACGAUGAAACUGUUCCUGCCCUGGGUUCCUGCCUUGGCUUCCCUUGAUGUUGGACUGUGCUUUUCCUCCUCUUCCUCCUGCCACUGGUGACGCAGGAAUGUGUUAUUAACCUCAAGAGUGGGUUGUUGAAAAGCUUGCAUAGUGUCGUCUAGAACUACAAGAGCUAGGUAAUCUUCAGGGAGGCAGCUUCCAGAUCAGUUCCAGCUCCAUUGCUCGAAGAACUAUUGGCAGCUGAUUACUACCAGGUCACCACAGCUGCCGUGAGUUUGUGAGUGCAACAACCACAUCAUGUCCAGAGACAGCACGUCAGAGCAGCCCCCCAUCCUCCAGGCCUUAACAUUCUUCGCUCCCUCUUCUAAGACGUUUUCUGAGCCUGGAGGGAUGCCCUGCUUUUGUUUGGGAUUUCGCUAAUUUCAUGGAGCAGUAUAUUGACAGGUUCUUGCAGGCCGGGAGAUGUCCCCAGUGCGUUGUGUGGAAGCCACCAUCUCUGACCCCCUCACCCCCAAGCCGUGCAUCUUCCUGGUUUCCCCCACCAUGACCAACCUCAGUUGCAGGCACGGCCUGUGUCCGUUCUGGAAGGCCUGUCAGGAAUAUCACGUGUUGCCAUGUGCCCACACCCACUCAAUCCUGCUUUUCGGAAGAACGCAAGGGAAUUUAAGCUUCGGAGAGCAUGCCCAGCACUUGGGAGGAUCUGCAUGUCACCAAGUGGCCUGUUCUGCCCCUCGCAAUCUGCGUCCCCACAGAGCCCUCCUCCCAUCUUACCUUUGGAUCAUUUGUUGCAUCCUGCUAGUCUUUACAGAGGAUAGAAUCUGAGUGUUGGGGUAGCCCUUCCAUCUUGCAGAUGAUGUCAGAGGUGAGGACAGGCUUGCGUGAGCGCUGUGUCCACUGAUCUUGGAGCAAGUCCCAUCUUAGAGCCUACCAUCAAUUUCCUCCAUGGCUCAAAAUAGCAAGAAAGGCUGCUGACUUCGAGGGGUUAGUGAACUUAAAUUGCCGGUUACACAAGCUUCCUGGGUAACUGCAGAAGCAGCAAGAUGGUUAGUUAAAUAAUCAUUUAUUGAAGACAUUUAUGUUUGGGGGAGGGGGAGGCAAAGAUAGAUUAGUAAGUACAUUGGAUCUUGAUGCAAGUCUUGCUGAGCUUGCUGGGGUCUGUACAGGAAAGGCCUUCAUGAGCAUCCAGGAGGUAGACUGAUUCCUGAGGACCACGCUGAGUUAAAACUCAGGACUCUCCCACUGAACUGGAAUGCACCCAGCAACCCUUGUGUCCCCAGACCGUGUCCUGGUUUCUGCUGACUCUAGGCUCCUAGGCCUACCUUUUCCCCUCCUCUGACCUUCUUAUGUGAAAUAACAUGAUGCUGACUAUAGUAUUUUUGUUCUUGUUGUGUUGAGACAGUGUCUCCCUGUAGCCCUGGUUGGCCUGUAACUCUCUUAUGUAGACCAGGCUGACCUCAGUCUCUACCUGCCUCU